rnacentral:snoRNA from 1 species
GGCCGGUGAUGUAUUGAUAUAUUUGCUACUCUCGAGGUUCAAGCGGUGACGACACUCGAUCACCAAGAUCUCUGAGGCC